rnacentral:lncRNA from 1 species
CUAGGGUACUACAUAAAUUACCACUGAGCUAGUCGCUUUUUUCUGUGCUUUCCCUGUUUGAAGAGGAUGGAAGUAGCUGAUUCCUUUCUAAUUAUUAUUUGAAGGUGCAGUCUGGAAUCCAUUGUUGAGGGAAUAGACCCCGAUUAAAGAAAACGGGGAGAAUAUUUUCAUGUUUAGCAAAGACGAAAUGCAACACAAGAUGCGUCAGAGUCAGCAUCUACCUUGACCUGGAGUCAGAGAGGAGAGCUGAGACUGUUGGACAAGAAUCUUAAUGGAGCUGACCACCAGUUUAUACUGCUAAAAGAGGAAUCCACAAGCUCUCAGACCAAAAAACAAGAGAUAAACAAAAUCACCAUGUUAACCCCAAGAUGUCUUGAUGCUCUGAGUGUUGCUUUAAUGGCUUAUUUGACUAAAUCCAGGACUAAAUUCCAGGGACCCUGGAAUACAAUGAGCACUACGUUCUCCUAGAACAGUGGUGGGCAACCUGCGGCCCAUCAGGAUAAUCCGCUGGCAGGCCACAGGAGCUAUGUCAGUUUACACCAGCUAAGGAUCUGGCCCUGUACUGGGUUCUGCACACUCAGUGCUGUCCAGAGGUAAAUAUAUAAAAAUUCUCUAAUGAUUUAAAGUAUGGCAUAAAAAAUGAGCCACCAUGAAA